rnacentral:rRNA from 1 species
AAGGCUGAGUAUUAGGCAAAUCCGGUACUCGUUAAGGCUGAGCUGUGAUGGGGAGAAGACAUUGUGUCUUCGAGUCGUUGAUUUCACACUGCCGAGAAAAGCCUCUAGAUAGAAAAUAGGUGCCCGUACCGCAAACCGACACAGGUAGUCAAGAUGAGAAUUCUAAGGUGAGCGAGCGAACUCUCGUUAAGGAACUCGGCAAAAUGACCCCGUAACUUCGGGAGAAGGGGUGCUCUUUAGGGUUAACGCCCAGAAGAGCCGCAGUGAAUAGGCCCAAGCGACUGUUUAUCAAAAACACAGGUCUCUGCUAAACCGUAAGGUGAUGUAUAGGGGCUGACGCCUGCCCGGUGCUGGAAG